rnacentral:rRNA from 1 species
CCUACGGGAGGCAGCAGUGGGGGAUAUUGCACAAUGGGGGGAACCCUGAUGCAGCGACGCCGCGUGGGUGAAGAAGCGCCUCGGCGCGUAAAGCCCUGUCAGCAGGGAAGAAAAUGACGGUACCUGAAGCAGAAGCCCCGGCUAACUACGUGCCAGCAGCCGCGGUAAUACGUAGGGGGCAAGCGUUAUCCGGAUGUACUGGGUGUAAAGGGGGCGCAGACGGCGAUGCAAGCCAGGAGUGAAAGCCCGGGGCCCAACCCCGGGACUGCUCUUGGAACUGCGUGGCUGGAGUGCAGGAGGGGCAGGCGGAAUUCCUGGUGUAGCGGUGAAAUGCGUAGAUAUCAGGAGGAACACCGGUGGCGAAGGCGGCCUGCUGGACUGCAACUGACGUUGAGGCCCGAAAGCGUGGGGAGCAAACAGGAUUAGAUACCCCAGUAGUC